UACACAUAGCAUCACUUGGUGUACUGAGGC
rnacentral:piRNA from 1 species